ACGCACGCUGGCGGCAUGCCUAACACAUGCCGGUCGAACGAGACCUUCGGGUCUAGUGGCGCACGGGUGCGUCACGCGUGGGAACCUGCCCUUAGGUUCGGAAUAACUCCCCGAAAGGGGUGCUAAUACCGGAUAAUGUCUUCGGACCAAAGAUUUAUCGCCUUUGGAUGGGCCCGCGUUGGAUUAGCUAGUUGGUAGGGUAAAAGCCUACCAAGGCGACGAUCCAUAGCUGGUCUGAGAGGAUGAUCAGCCACACUGGGACUGAGACACGGCCCAGACUCCUACGGGAGGCAGCAGUGGGGAAUAUUGGACAAUGGGCGAAAGCCUGAUCCAGCAAUGCCGCGUGAGUGAUGAAGGCCUUAGGGUUGUAAAGCUCUUUUACCCGGGAUGAUAAUGACAGUACCGGGAGAAUAAGCGCCGGCUAACUCCGUG
rnacentral:rRNA from 1 species